rnacentral:tRNA from 1 species
GGGGUUGUAGCUCAGUGGUAGAGUGCUUGUCUCGCAUGCACGGGACCCUGGGUUCGAUCCUCAGCACCACG